rnacentral:tRNA from 1 species
GCCUCUUUAGCUUAGUGGUAGAGCGUUGCACUUGUAUUAUGCAAAGGUCACCGGUUCAAUUCCGGUAGGAGGCA